rnacentral:rRNA from 1 species
UACGUAGGGCGCAAGCGUUGUCCGGAAUCACUGGGCGUAAAGGGUGCGUAGGCGGGUCUUUAAGUCAGGGGUGAAAUCCUGGAGCUCAACUCCAGAACUGCCUUUGAUACUGAAGAUCUUGAGUUCGGGAGAGGUGAGUGGAACUGCGAGUGUAGAGGUGAAAUUCGUAGAUAUUGGGAAGAACACCAGUGGCGAAGGCGGCUAACUGGUCCGGUACUGACGCUGAGGUGCGAAGCGUGGGGAGCAAACAGG